rnacentral:rRNA from 1 species
UACAGAGGUCCCAAGCGUUGUUCGGAUUCAUUGGGCGUAAAGGGUGCGUAGGCGGCGCGGUAAGUCGGGUGUGAAAUCUCGGGGCUUAACUCCGAAACUGCAUUCGAUACUGCCGUGCUUGAGGACUGGAGAGGAGACUGGAAUUUACGGUGUAGCGGUGAAAUGCGUAGAUAUCAGGAAGAACACCAACGGCGAAGGCAGCUCGCUGGGACGGUACUGACGCUGAGACGCGAAAGCGUGGGGAGCGAACAGG